AUUGAACGCUGGCGGCAGGCUUAACACAUGCAAGUCGAGCGGGGGAAGGUAGCUUGCUACUGGACCUAGCGGCGGACGGGUGAGUAAUGCUUAGGAAUCUGCCUAUUAGUGGGGGACAACAUCUCGAAAGGGAUGCUAAUACCGCAUACGUCCUACGGGAGAAGGCAGGGGAUCUUCGGACCUUGCGCUAAUAGAUGAGCCUAAGUCGGAUUAGCUAGUUGGUGGGGUAAAGGCCUACCAAGGCGACGAUCUGUAGCGGGUCGGAGAGGAGGAACCGACAAACUGGGACUGAGGGAGGGCCCAGACUCCUACGGGAGGAAGACGUUGGGAAUAUUGGACAAGGGGGGGAACCCUGAGCCAGCCAUGCCGCGUGUGUGAAGAAGGCCUUAUGGUUGUAAAGCACUUUAAGCGAGGAGGAGGCUACUUUAGUUAAUACCUAGAGAUGGUGGACGUUACUCGCAGAAUAAGCACCGGCUAACUCUGUGCCAGCCGCCGCCGUAA
rnacentral:rRNA from 1 species